GACGAACGCUGGCGGCGUGCUUAACACAUGCAAGUCGAACGGAAAGGCCCUGCUUUUGUGGGGUGCUCGAGUGGCGAACGGGUGAGUAACACGUGAGUAUCCUGCCCUUGACUUUGUGAUAACUUCAGGAAACUGGGGCUAUUACCGGAUAGGAGCUCCUGCUGCAUGGUGGGGGUUGGAAAGUUUCGGCGGUUGGGGAUGGACUCGCGGCUUAUCAGCUUGUUUGUGGGGUAGUGGCUUACCAAGGCUUUGACGGGUAGCCGGCCUGUGAGGGUGACCGGCGACAUUGGGACUGAGAUACGGCGCAGAAUCGAACGGGAGGCAGCAGGGGGGAAUAUUGCACAAUGGGAGGAAGCGUGAUGCAGAAACGCCGCGUGCGGGAUGACGGCCUUUGGGUUGUAAACAGAUUUCGAAUGUGACGAAGCGUGAGUGACGGUAAUGGGUAAAGAAGCACCGGCUAACUACGUG
rnacentral:rRNA from 1 species